UGUGUCUGACUUCUUGGCCUGUUUUUAGUCUAAUGAGCAAGUCGCAUGGCUGAAAAUUAUCAACAUGAAAUAACCAAGGGGCCAGCUGUCAAUUCAAAGAUACUCCAUGGAUUUUGUAUUCAAGUUAUUUUUAAUUGUCUGAAAUGAAAUUAUGUGAAAAUACAUAGCCAAUAAAGCUUGAGUGGUUUGAUUUAUGCAAUAUAUGUUAAUAUACUAUUGUUUUGCUUUCUACUAAAGAAAACUAUAAAUUAAUAUAAGAAAAUAACAUUAGAACAAUAAUUAUCUUUCAAUUAUGACACUAUAAGGCACGUAUUUGGUCUAAAAUCACUACAGUUACACAUAAUUUUUUAUGUGAACCUUUAAAUACUUUCAACAGGGAUGAGCAUAAUAUAAAAUCAAUAAUGAACAAAAUUACUCAGUGAUCACCCAUAAACCCACGAUAGCCCUAUUGAAAAUAUUUAUUUUAAUAUGUCAUUUUAAAUAUUGUGAAGAAUUUUAGACAUUUUUGAGCAAUGGUUAAUACUAAUGGAAAUCUAUUUCAGUAAAUUAAAGUACAAUGAUCAGUUUGGGAUCACUCAUAUUUUGAACUAUAUAAUAAAAAUUAAAUUCCAGAUUGUGUCUCCUAGUCAGUAAAAUUUGAGCCAUGCUGCUUUUAUUUAAUUUAUGAUGAAGGAAUGCAAACACAUCUUAACGUGAAGCCUAGGAGGCCUGAUUUGUAAAUAACCUUCUGACCUUUCCUGGCGUUUUUAUUUUCUUACUCACAAUUCCCUCUAAGUUAAAUGCCACCCCACACUUCAAUCCCUAGCACCUGGCAAACACAUUCUCAUUUCCCAAUACUUACACCACAGGAACUGCCACUAGGAGACAUUUCUAGACCAGAAAAAAAGGAAGGAAGGCAGAACUGUUAAAUAUUUAUCUUUGAAUCAUGAUUGCCUAACACAGUAGGGAAAAAAAAUGGUGAGGGGCAAUUUCAUGGAGAUUUAUUGAAUGAUAAAUGAAAUUAAAAUGUUAUAGCAACAGGUAUACUUAGCAAGAGGUAACUUGUUUUUCUACUAUUUGUAGUUUGCUGUGAUAUUUAUAGUUGUUCCUUUCUAUAAGCAGGAAAUGUAGCUGUUUUAUUUUGGAGCUAUUAUUUCAUCCCAAAUGGUUAGAGACUCAAGUCAUUUCCUCUUUGGGAAAUUCAACCUAAUUUGGGAAGUCAGUAGAGAAUGGUGACUAUGAUCCUGGACUUCAGAGUUAAACAGGUGACCUCUGAAUCUUACUAGGACUAGGAGUUGCAUGAAUUCGGCAAUGGCAUCAUUUCUACUAUCAUUCCAGGGAAAGUCCUUUUUCAGAAAUCAGUAAAUCAGUGGGUAUUUUCGGCCCUGCCUUCCUCCUGUGACAUCUGACUUGACAAAACCAAUCUUGAAUCCUGACUGGUGAGUAUGGUAGUGAUGGUGGUGGGGGUGGGUGGGUAGGUUAAGAAAUAGGGUGUGGAGGCUGUACUAGGAUAGGGAAAAGAUAGAGGGAAAGAUUAGGACCUGCAGUCCCUGGGUGGGAAAAAACACAUAUUUUAGAACAAUGCUGGGAGUGUCUGACCACAGCAAACCCCCUCAGGCAUAGUGUUCCUUUUAAGAAUGUAACAGACACCACUCAUUCCCCAUCAGUCUCCCCUCAGGAAUUGGACAAAAGACCUGACUAAAAAUAAGUAGUAGACCAUAAAACUUAUGAUCCCCAAGGAAUGAUCUAUGGCCUUAGACCACCCCUCAUAAAUGGAAUGAAGCCAAUCAGGAAUGGACAACCCAGUGCCCAGAGUCAUCAAGUCAAUAAGGGUGGGACCUGAGAAGGAACGAGGGGGUAGUGCUGACCAGAACCUUAUAAAACAAAGACCCUGGCCUAUAGUGGUGGGUAUUCACUUUCCAAUGCCUCCCUCUCUGUAAAAGAGAGCUUUCAUACUAUUCUUCCUUUCUGAUCUUAUACUUUAAUACACUUUUGUCUGCUGCUCAUUUUGUGUCCACAUCUUCAUUCUUCAUUCUUCAAAGCGGUGAGACAACCAGCCCCGGCUUUUGAGGUAAAGAUUCUUCCAACAGUACCACAACCAUUGCUUGACCAGGACCCAGAUGACAUGGGUAGGGGUCAGGAUGCUGCAUGGAGCUAGCCCUUUGCUGCCCUAGUAGCCCCAUAAUAAUCUUCAAAAACUGCCUAUUGCUUCUCUUACAGUCAAUUGCCUCUCUAAUGACUAAAUCCUCUAAUGAUUUAAACAAUAUGAGUAAUAGUCAAAUAUAAAAAUAUUGCAUGGUAUAGUCUUUACCAAGUCUGCUCUGCAAAUAUGUGCACUAUAUAUACACUACAUACAAUUUCACAGAUUUGUAAACAUGGUGUGGCCCACAGUCAUCAAAAGAUCAAAAGAAAAAAAAAAAAAAAAGAUCAAAAGAAAGCCAGCAAAACACUUGUGAGAAUGCAACAAAUUAACUGUGAAGAAUUCCCAAGGACAGCCUAUGUGCUGCACUGUGAGAAAAUAUAGGUAAUGUUUACCAUAGUUAAAAAUAUCGUUUCAUAGUGAAAAACACCAAAAAUGUCCUUUUUUUAAAGUCAGAAUUAGGUGUUCAUUAUUGAAAAGUACUCCUGAACAAAGAGAGCAGCAGUUUAAUUUGUUCGAUUUCACCAAUUAUUAAUAAUUGUUUUUGUUACAUAUUGUUGAGAAGCCACACAGCAAAGUUUUCCUUCCUACUAUUAACAUUCCCCAGAAGUAUUCAUUUCACAAUGUAUAUGAACAUGAAAUCAUCAUAUUGCACACCUUAAAUAUACACAACUUUGGUCAAUUAUAUGUCAAUUAAGAAAAUUAAUUUCGGGAAAAGGUACCACGAAGGAGAAGCCCUCAGUGCUAAAGGUAUGCUGGCUUCUCGGGAAAUAUGAGGGUGUAUCACAAAUCUAAAGAAAGCACUGACAGAGUAUUCUUUAAAGGUUCUCAUUGUUUCAAUUGUAAGGCCUUUUAAAGCAAUGAAAUACUUUGGAGUAGGUCUAGAAACCAAUUGUUCAUUUACCAACUAACAGCAGUAAAAGUUGAUAGACUCUCAGGGGGCUUUACUCCGCUACAGCCACUAAGUGGCAGGAAAUAUCCCUCCCCAUCAGCCAUUAUCUCUCAAAUAAUCUGUACAUUCUACUAAAAUGAAACCUCAAUUCAGAUGAGAAAAGAAAGAGAAAGAAGUUAAGAAAGGUUACCAUCCUACUCAAUACAUCCAAAUCAAGCAUUUUGAAAGUCAACUUAUAAUUUGAGUGCCUCUGAGACAUGUAAACCUAUAUUUUACAUUUUCAAACUUUACAUGUCCUUUAACUUACGGUUGAAUUUCUAAAGUCAAAUGGUAAGACUUUAUUAUUGCUUUCAACAUAUCUGAAGGGUAUUAAAAACUACUUAAGCGAUAAGGGUACCCUGAAGUUGACUGUGGAUUUUGCAAUAAGAAUGGCAACCGUUUCUUAAAACAAUGUUCAGUGUGACCCCUAGGUUUUUAUUUGUUUUCUUAAGGUAAUGAGGUUGUGGUUAUGAUUUUAAGACUCUCUUUUAGAGCAGAUUAGGUUCACAGAAAAAUUGAGAGGAGAGUCCCAAGACUUCCCAUAUACCUCAUGCUACCACAAAAGCAUAACCCUCAUUAUCAACAUCCCCCACCAGAGUGCUACAUUUGUUACAAUAGAUGAAUGGACACUGACACAUCGUAGUCACCCAAAAGUCCAUACUUUACCUUAGAGUUUACUCUUGGAGCUGUACUUUCUAUGGGUUCAGACAAAUGGAUAAUGAUAUGUAUUCAUCAUUAUACAAAUACACAGAGUAUUUUCACUGCCCUAGAAAUCUGUGCUCCACCUAUUCAACUUUCCUCCUACCCACUAUCCCCCACUCCCAGGCAUUUUUAUUGAAAAAGAAAACUAACCUAGAAGUAUUGGAAUUUCAACGUAUGGGUACAAGUCUGAUUUCAUUGUGUGAAUUCUUUGUAAUUAGUGUGGCCGUCAUUGCUUCUUAUGCUACAUUUUUAUUAUAUUGCUUCCAACAUAUAGUAUCUUUUCUGUUAUUCUUAACUACAAUAUGUACUUUGGUGAAAUAGUAUUUAAGAAUGAUUAUUAUAUCAUUCAUUAUCAACUAAUUCAUUGGUUUCCAAAUUUCAUACUCAUUUAUUAUGUGAUUAAAGGCAUAAUUUAAUUGACUUAUAAAACAUAAAUAUUUGAAUAUGCAGUAUAUGGACCAUUUGAUUCAUGAGCUGAUGGUUCUGUUUUCUUAUAAUGAUCCUGACUUUCAAUUUUCCUAACAGGCAUGUAAAUAUUAUAUAUGCAAGAAUGGAGUGAGGGAAUUCCUUACACCUGUUCUUGGUAAACGUAGUAUUUCCACAAUUCUCCCACUGGGGAAUCCUGUGUUCUUGAUUUUACCACUACUCUCCAGAACUAAAAAAAAAAUAGCAAAUGCCUUUUAACCAGUGUAUCUUCUAAAUAUAUCCUGUUGUUGAAAGUUUCUGUUGUUUGCUUUAUUUUCAAAUCACAUAAUUAUUCCCUAAACAUUACAUGCUGGUUCUAUCUACUAUACUUAUUUUCAAAUUAGUUGACUUUUCUAUACCUUUAAAAAGUUAAACUUUAAUUUUUCCUAAAAUAUAGAAGUUAGAAUAUCCACAGGAAUUUUUACUCUAACAACCAAAUACAUUAAUGAUUUUCAAAAGGACAAAAGUUCUCUGUCUAUAUAAUGACAUUCUGUACACUUUAAAGGGCAACAAAACUUUAUUCAAAGAGCACUGCUAGUAGAAAGUAGUCAAAAUUAUUUGAAGUUUCUUCUAUGUUAAGCUUGCCUUUGGUUUAUUAUUUCUCUGUGAUUUAUAUUGAGGAAAUUGAGAAAAAUGAAUCAUCAAUGGCAGUGCUUCCGAUGUUCAUCUAUUCUCACAUAGUACUUCCUAUCAAUGUUCCUUAUUCUUAAAGCUUAAUUAUAUAUAUAACAUAUAGUUGUAUAUAUUAUAUAUAAUCUAUAAAAAGUACAUUUAUCUUAAAAAUCAUUCAAUUAAAAUAUAAUAAUGGAUUAUAUUUUCAAAUACUAUUCAAAGUAGUUUUCAAAUAUAAUUGAAAAGAACAAUUA